AAAGUCUAUAGUCUCAGACCUUCAAAUUAUCCCCUUAAAGAAAUAAUUUUCUCCCUCAAAUGGCGUGCCAGCAGUCUCGGUUACACGAUUGGAUCAAAAAAUAAAUAACUAUUAUUAAAGAUAGGCCUUCAAAAGAACAUUAAAAUAAGUGAAAUUUUUAAUAAAAAGAAAAUCAAUUUUAAUAAAAAGAAAAAAGAGAAGGAAAAGGAUUAGAUACCCUUUUACUUAUUAUCAAAGGUAAUAAAUGGAAAUCAAAAAACCUAAGAAAUUUGGCGGUUUCUUAUCCUCUCAGGGGAAUUUGCUUAAUAAAUCGAUAAUCCGCGAUUAAAAAAAUUUCUUUUAUUAAUUUAUAUAUCUCCGAGGAACAAAUUGUUUUAUCAUUAACUCAGGUAAGAUGUAAUUUAUAAAGAAGGACAAGUUAAUUACUUAUAGGACUUUAAAUUAAAAAUUUAGAGAAAUAAGGACCUGAAAGUAAAUUUUUCUUAAAAUGUAAAAUUGAAAUGGCGAUUAGAAAUGUACAUAUCGCCCGUCACCCUAGAAAUAGGCAAGUCGUAACAAAGUAGAAAUUUCGGAAGAAGUUUCUUGCCAAAUCAAACAUUUUA
rnacentral:rRNA from 1 species